rnacentral:tRNA from 1 species
GGAGGGUUAGUUCAGUGGUAGAGUGCAUGCUUAGCAUGCACAAGGUCCUGGGUUCAAUCCCCAGUACCUCCA